rnacentral:rRNA from 1 species
GUCCACGCCGUAAACGAUGGGUGCUAGGUGUGGGUGGUGUCGACUCCCUCCGUGCCGCAGCUAACGCAUUAAGCACCCCGCCUGGGGAGUACGGCCGCAAGGCUAAAACUCAAAGGAAUUGACGGGGACCCCGCACAAGCAGCGGAGCAUGUGGUUUAAUUCGAUGCAACGCGAAGAACCUUACCAGGGCUUGACAUGCACUGGAAAGCCGUAGAAAUACGGUCCUCCUUCGGGACCAGUGCACAGGUGGUGCAUGGCUGUCGU